rnacentral:rRNA from 1 species
AGCGGCGAACGGGUGAGUAACACGUGGGCAACCUUUCCUAUCGCGGGGGAUAACAGCGGGAAACCGCUGCUAAUACCGCAUGUCGUCAUCGGUCGCAUGGCCGGUGAAGAAAGCAGCAAUGCACGAUGGGGUGGGCCCGCGGCCUAUCAGCUAGUCGGUGGGGUAACGGCCUACCGAGGCGAUGACGGGUAGCUGGUCUGAGAGGACGACCAGCCACACGGGGACUGAGACACGGCCCCGACUCCUACGGGAGGCAGCAGUGAGGAAUCUUCCGCAAUGGGCGAAAGCCUGACGGAGCGACGCCGCGUGUGGGAUGAAGUCCUUCGGGAUGUAAACCACUGUUGGUGGGGAAGACAACUGACGGUACCCACCGAGAAAGCCCCGGCUAACUACGUGCCAGCAGCCGCGGUAAUACGUAGGGGGCGAGCGUUAUCCAGAUUUACUGGGCGUAAAGCGCGUGUAGGCGGCUGGUUAAGUGUGAUGUGAAAUCUUCGGGCUCAACCCGAAAACUGCAUUGCAAACUGGCCUGGCUAGAGUGCAGGAGAGGGAAGCGGAAUUCCAGGUGUAGCGGUGAAAUGCGUAGAUAUCUGGAGGAACACCAGUGGCGAAGGCGGCUUCCUGGCCUGUAACUGACGCUGAGACGCGAAAGCGUGGGGAGCGAACCGGAUUAGAUACCCGGGUAGUCCACGCCCUAAACGUUGCGAACUAGGUGUUGGUCGGAUUGACCCGAUCAGUGCCGCAGCCAACGCAUUAAGUUCGCCGCCUGGGGACUACGGCCGCAAGGUUAAAACUCAAAGGAAUAGGCGGGGGCCCGCACAAGCAGCGGAGCGUGUGGUUUAAUUCGA